AAAUGCCUUCGGGCACCGAGCCGACUGUGCGAGGGCUGUAUAGCCAGUCAAUGUCGUUAAACACUUCCAUUUGUUGUUGUAGAUUAAUAGACUACCGACGUAUCGUGGAAAGGCAAUAUAGCCAAAUUCAUCAAGAACGAUAUAAGCUUCUACGAAUGGAAGAAUAAUGUGUGGAAUUAAAUGUGGUUUGACAUGCAGCCCUACCAAGGCAAGCUAAGCUUACCACCUACCAUUUAAUAAGCGCGAACUACAUGGCUUCUUGCAAUAAGGUGAAUUGAAGUAUUGAUUUCUCUAUUUCUACUUUCAAACGUUAGGCACGAUGUUCCUACAACACCACGUUACACUUAAAAUGCGGCGUCGAAGAGGGUUUUUGACUUCGAUUAAUUUUUGCAAGUUUUAUGCGUUUUUUUUAUAUGGUGGUUGAUUCUGGUUCUGUUCGUUUUGUGAUGUCAUUUUAUCAUAAGUUACCUCAAGUUGUGGAAAUCGAUUUAAUAAUGUUUACCCUUUUAAAAGUUAUUUCAACUAAAAAUACAGAACUGUCGCAAGUAAUGUAGGAAGGAAAGAUGGGACGGAAGUACAUGUAUAUGGUUUUCCAUGAAAAAAAUAUUUUUAGAUGUACAAAACUUUUAUCAUAUGAUGUUUAACCCCAAUACAAAUAUAUCUGACACUGCAAGUAAAUCGAACAUUUUUACCCUUGGUUAAAUUUGAAUAGAAUUGUAUUUUCCCUGGCACACAAGUUGUCGAAAUACACCCCUUCAAUUACUUGAACCUUGGCUUGAGAUUUAUUUCCAAAGUCAUCUAUAGUGUUCAACUUCUGAUAUACAUUUUAAAAUAUAGUAAUUGUCCGUAAAAACGGCUAAUAUAAUCCCGGGUUUUUAUCAAUUCGAUGAAACAGUUUUCGUCGCUGUUCGGGAUUCGUCUUUUAAUUACGUCCAUUUCAUGCACAAGUUUAUAUUGACGAAAAGUUCCAGCUUCGCUAUUACAGGAAUUACUUUCAUCACGACAGUUAU
rnacentral:lncRNA from 1 species